UACGUAGGGGGCGAGCGUUGUCCGGAAUUAUUGGGCGUAAAGGGCUCGUAGGCGGUUUGUCGCGUCGGGAGUGAAAUCCACUGGCUUAACUGGUGGCUUGCUUUCGAUACGGGCAGACUGGAGGUAUGCAGGGGAGAACGGAAUUCCUGGUGUAGCGGUGAAAUGCGCAGAUAUCAGGAGGAACACCGGUGGCGAAGGCGGUUCUCUGGGCCUUACCUGACGCUGAGGAGCGAAAGCGUGGGGAGCGAACAGG
rnacentral:rRNA from 1 species